rnacentral:misc_RNA from 2 species
AACCAUCAACCUCCUCGUGAGGCUUGGACUUUGGAGCGUGCUGGCCUUCGAGGUCGGCUCCUCUUUAAAUGCAUCAGCGGAAGUCCAUUGACGUCUCCCGUCCGGCGUGAUAAUCCUGUUGCGCCGUCAGGGUCUCGUUGGGGCUCGCUUAUAAUGGUCUUCGGACGACAUCCU